rnacentral:lncRNA from 1 species
GUCAUGCACACUUUGAAAAGUACGGUCAACGAAGGGGAGCAUAAAAGAUUAGGUAUGGAGAUGCGACACAAUGCCAAAGGCAACCGUUGGAUUAACAACAUGUAGGCCCCACGAUCUUACAGCUAAAAUAUUUUGAUCAACUAAUCACAUGUAAUUAAUUAAGAUUAUUUAUGUUAAAGACGCGAUAUGGCCUUAAUUGGUUAAAUGUGAUUAAGAAAAGAUUUGAUUAAUG